rnacentral:rRNA from 1 species
UACAGAGGUGGCAAGCGUUGUUCGGAAUUACUGGGCGUAAAGAGUGUGUAGGCGGUGCUCCAAGUCUGGUGUGAAAUCUCCCGGCUUAACUGGGAGGGUGCAUUAGAAACUGGAAUGCUAGAGGAUGGGAGAGGUAAGCGGAAUUCCUGGUGUAGCGGUGAAAUGCGUAGAUAUCAGGAGGAACACCUGUGGUGUAGACAGCUUACUGGACCAUUUCUGACGCUGAGACACGAAAGCGUGGGUAGCAAACAGG